GAGAGCAUGGUUCAAGUGGUAGAGUGUGUGCUUAGCAUACACAAGGUCCUGGGUUCAAUCCCCAGUACCUCCU
rnacentral:tRNA from 1 species